AACGAACGCUGGCGGCAGGCUUAACACAUGCAAGUCGAACGGGCGUAGCAAUACGUCAGUGGCAGACGGGUGAGUAACACGUGGGAACCUUCCUAGGGGUACGGAACAACUCAGGGAAACUUGAGCUAAUACCGUAUACGUCCGUGAGGAGAAAGAUUUAUCGCCCUUAGACGGGCCCGCGUCGGAUUAGCUAGUUGGUGGGGUAACGGCCUACCAAGGCGACGAUCCGUAGCUGAUCUGAGAGGAUGAUCAGCCACACUGGGACUGAGACACGGCCCAGACUCCUACGGGAGGCAGCAGUGGGGAAUCUUGGACAAUGGGCGCAAGCCUGAUCCAGCCAUGCCGCGUGAGUGAAGAAGGCC
rnacentral:rRNA from 1 species